UACGGAGGAUCCAAGCGUUAUCCGGGAUUUAUUGGGUUUCAAAGGGUGCGUAGGCGGGAGAUUAAGUCGGUGGUGAAAUUUUGCAGCUCAACUGUAAAAGUGCCAUUGAUACUGGUUUCCUUGAGUGUGGAUGAAGUAGGCGGAAUUUGUGGUGUAGCGGUGAAAUGCAUAGAUAUCACGAGGAACUCCGAUUGCGCAGGCAGCUUACUAAACCAUAACUGACGCUCAGGCACGAAGGCGUGGGGAUCAAACCAGGAUUAGAUA
rnacentral:rRNA from 1 species